rnacentral:rRNA from 1 species
CCUACGGGAGGCUGCAGUGAGGAAUAUUGGUCAAUGGACGAGAGUCUGAACCAGCCAAGUAGCGUGAAGGAUGACUGCCCUAUGGGUUGUAAACUUCUUUUAUAUGGGAAUAAAAUGUUCCACGUGUGGGAUUUUGUAUGUACCAUAUGAAUAAGGAUCGGCUAACUCCGUGCCAGCAGCCGCGGUAAUACGGAGGAUCCGAGCGUUAUCCGGAUUUAUUGGGUUUAAAGGGAGCGUAGGUGGAUUGUUAAGUCAGUUGUGAAAGUUUGCGGCUCAACCGUAAAAUUGCAGUUGAAACUGGCAGUCUUGAGUACAGUAGAGGUGGGCGGAAUUCGUGGUGUAGCGGUGAAAUGCUUAGAUAUGACGAAGAACUCCGAUUGCGAAGGCAGUUCACUGGACUGCAACUGACACUGAGGCUCGAAAGUGUGGGUAUCAAACAGGAUUAGAUACCCGUGUAGUC